GUGCAUUAUGCUGCGCACUUGACUUGCAAAUUAUGAAGAGAGCAGCGGCUGGGAGAGAGAGGAGGUCAGGAGCACGGAGGAAGAGCAUGCUCCGCCUCCACAGUCAUCCGCGGAAGGAUCCGCACAGUGAGUGUGAGGGAGGAGGUCAGUGCUGGUAUCAAGGUCGGCAGACUGGGACACUGUCAGGAGGUUCCAGGGAGCAGCAAGCUUUAAUGUGAG